rnacentral:rRNA from 1 species
UACGGAAGAUGCGAGCGUUAUCCGGAUUUAUUGGGUUUAAGGGAGCGUAGGCGGGCGUUUAAGCCGGCGGUCAAAUGUCAUGGCCCAACCUUGGCAUGCCGUUGGAACUGGAUGUCUUGGAUACACACAAGGAAGGUGGAAUUCGUCGUGUAGCGGUGAAAUGCUUAGACAUGACGAAGAACCCCGAUUGCGAAGGCAGCCUUCUGGGGUGCGAUUGACGCUGAGGCUCGAAAGUGCGGGUAUCGAACAG